rnacentral:rRNA from 1 species
GAUGAACGCUGGCGGCGUGCCUAAUACAUGCAAGUCGAACGCUGGAAAUCUAGCUUGCUAGCUUGAAGGAGUGGCGAACGGGUGAGUAAUACAUAAGCAACCUACCCACGAAGACUGGGAUAAUCUCUGGAAACGGGGACUAAUACCGGAUAGGUAAUCGGAAGGCAUCUUCUGAUUAUUAAAGGUUAAAAACACUGGUGGAUGGGCUUAUGGCGCAUUAGUUAGUUGGUGAGGUAACGGCCCACCAAGACGAUGAUGCGUAGCCGGCCUGAGAGGGUGAACGGCCACAUUGGGACUGAGACACGGCCCAGACUCCUACGGGAGGCAGCAGUAGGGAAGUUUCGGCAAUGGGGGAAACCCUGACCGAGCAACGCCGCGUGAGUGAUGACGGCCUUCGGGUUGCAAAGCUCUGUUGUAAGGGAAGAACGGUAGAUAGAGAAUAUCUAAAUGACGGUACCUUACCGGAAAGCCACGGCUAACUACGUG